AUUGAACGCUGGCGGCAUGCUUUACACAUGCAAGUCGAACGGCAGCGCGGGCUUCGGCCUGGCGGCGAGUGGCGAAUGGGUGAGUAAUGCAUCGGAACGUGCCCAGUAGUGGGGGAUAGCCCGGCGAAAGCCGGAUUAAUACCGCAUACGGCCUGAGGGUGAAAGCGGGGGACCGAAAGGCCUCGCGCUAUUGGAGCGGCCGAUGUCGGAUUAGCUAGUUGGUGGGGUAAAGGCUUACCAAGGCGACGAUCCGUAGCUGGUCUGAGAGGACGACCAGCCACACUGGGACUGGGACACGGCCCAGACUCCUACGGGAGGCAGCAGUGGGGAAUUUUGGACAAUGGGGGCAACCCUGAUCCAGCCAUGCCGCGUGCGGGAAGAAGGCCUUCGGGUUGUAAACCGCUUUUGUUCGGGAAGAAAUCCUCUGGGCUAAUACCCCGGGGGGAUGACGGUACCGGAAGAAUAAGCACCGGCUAACUACGUG
rnacentral:rRNA from 1 species